rnacentral:rRNA from 1 species
CCAGCAGCCGCGGUAAUUCCAGCUCCAAUAGCGUAUAUUAAAGUUGCUGCAGUUAAAAAGCUCGUAGUUGGAUCUCGGGCACAGGCUUGCGGUCCGUCUCGCGGCGGUCACCGCUCGCCCUGGCCUCCCGGCCGGCGUCACCGUCCCCUGGUGCUCUUGACCGAGUGUCUCGGGCGGCCGGCACGUUUACUUUGAAGAAAUUAGAGUGCUUAGAGCAGGCCCUGGUUGCCUGUAUAAUUGUGCAUGGAAUAAUGGAAUAGGACCUCGGUUCUAUCUGUUGGCUCUCGGAGCGCGAGGUAAUGAUUGAUAGGGACUGACGGGGGCAUCCGUAUUGCGGCGCUAGAGGUGAAAUUCUUGGACCGUCGCAAGACGAACGACAGCGAAAGCAUUUGCCAAGCAUGUUUUCA